rnacentral:rRNA from 1 species
CUGCAAUGCGGGUGCUAUACAUGCAGUCGAGCGAAUCGAUGGGAGCUUGCUCCCUGAGAUUAGCGGCGGACGGGUGAGUAACACGUGGGCAACCUGCCUAUAAGACUGGGAUAACUUCGGGAAACCGGAGCUAAUACCGGAUACGUUCUUUUCUCGCAUGAGAGAAGAUGGAAAGACGGUUUACGCUGUCACUUAUAGAUGGGCCCGCGGCGCAUUAGCUAGUUGGUGAGGUAAUGGCUCACCAAGGCGACGAUGCGUAGCCGACCUGAGAGGGUGAUCGGCCACACUGGGACUGAGACACGGCCCAGACUCCUACGGGAGGCAGCAGUAGGGAAUCUUCCGCAAUGGACGAAAGUCUGACGGAGCAACGCCGCGUGAACGAAGAAGGCCUUCGGGUCGUAAAGUUCUGUUGUUAGGGAAGAACAAGUACCAGAGUAACUGCUGGUACCUUGACGGUACCUAACCAGAAAGCCACGGCUAACUACGUGCCAGCAGCCGCGGUAAUACGUAGGUGGCAAGCGUUGUCCGGAAUUAUUGGGCGUAAAGCGCGCGCAGGUGGUUCCUUAAGUCUGAUGUGAAAGCCCACGGCUCAACCGUGGAGGGUCAUUGGAAACUGGGGAACUUGAGUGCAGAAGAGGAAAGUGGAAUUCCAAGUGUAGCGGUGAAAUGCGUAGAGAUUUGGAGGAACACCAGUGGCGAAGGCGACUUUCUGGUCUGUAACUGACACUGAGGCGCGAAAGCGUGGGGAGCAAACAGGAUUAGAUACCCUGGUAGUCCACGCCGUAAACGAUGAGUGCUAAGUGUUAGAGGGUUUCCGCCCUUUAGUGCUGCAGCUAACGCAUUAAGCACUCCGCCUGGGGAGUACGGCCGCAAGGCUGAAACUCAAAGGAAUUGACGGGGGCCCGCACAAGCGGUGGAGCAUGUGGGUUUAAUUCGAAGCAACGCGAAGAACCUUACCAGUCUUGACAUCCUCUGACACCCUAGAGAUAGGGCUUUCCCCUUCGGGGACAGAGUGACAGUGGUGCAUGGUUGUCGUCAGCUCGUGUCGUGAGAUGUUGGGUUAAGUCCCCGCAAACGAGCGCCAAUUC